rnacentral:sRNA from 1 species
GCCGGGCGCGGUGGCGAGCGCCUGUAGUCCCAGCUACUCGGAGGCUGAGGCGGGAGAAUGGCGUGAACCCGGGAGGUGGAGCUUGCAGUGAGCUGAGAUUGCACCACUGCACUCCAGCCUGGGUGACAGAGCGAGACUCCGUCUCAA